UAGUCUCCUCCACAAGAUCUGGACCAAACAAUUUUCUAUCACACUCCUCUUUCCAACAGAUGGACGAUCUGCAUGGGUGGCCAUACAACACCUUAUACGGAGCCAUGCUAAUACUUGCUUGGUAGCCGUUAUUGUAGGCGAACUCUAUUAGGGGGUAGAUGAUCAUCCUAAUAGCCCCCGAAGUCAAGAACACAAGCUUGG
rnacentral:lncRNA from 1 species